GAUGAACGCUGGCGGCGUGCCUAACACAUGCAAGUCGAGCGAUUCUCUUCGGAGAAGAGCGGCGGACGGGUGAGUAACGCGUGGGUAACCUGCCCUGUACACACGGAUAACAUACCGAAAGGUAUGCUAAUACGAGAUAAUAUACUUUUAUCGCAUGGUAGAAGUAUCAAAGCUUUUGCGGUACAGGAUGGACCCGCGUCUGAUUAGCUAGUUGGUAAGGUAACGGCUUACCAAGGCGACGAUCAGUAGCCGACCCGAGAGGGUGAUCGGCCACAUUGGAACUGAGACACGGUCCAAACUCCUACGGGAGGCAGCAGUGGGGAAUAUUGCACAAUGGGCGAAAGCCUGAUGCAGCAACGCCGCGUGAGCGAUGAAGGCCUUCGGGUCGUAAAGCUCUGUCCUCAAGGAAGAUAAUGACGGUACUUGAGGAGGAAGCCCCGGCUAACUACGUGCCAGCAGCCGCCGUAA
rnacentral:rRNA from 1 species